GGCAAAACCCAGAAUUUAUUUUAAUGCGACAGCAAUUACUUGACGAUCUUAAAGGUCAAAAGGAGCUUCAUUUACGAAAACAAUUACUAGAUGAACUUAAGGACCAAGAAGAACUUAAUUUGGUUGAAGUCCUUGGAGAAAGAGCAGAAAGCAGCUCAACUCCGAGAUCGUCUUAACUUCUACGUGUCUUGUCCCAUAUGUAAUUCUUCGGACCAUCGCAUGGUUGCGUUGUUAUGUGGUCACAUUUUCGGUGAAUCAUGCGCACGACAAUGCCUGCAAAGAAAUUCAAAUUGUCCAGAAUGCCUAGCUAAUUUUUCAGAAAGUAAUAUCCGUAAACAAUUUCCCCGUUAGUAAUUUGUUCAAUCUGUAUUACGCGUAGUAAAUUUUAACAAUACAAAAGAACUAAUAAACAAUUUUUAAUUUCUUAUCUAUGUACAUAUGUAUGUAUGUAUAUAUCAUUAGCUUCCUCUGACUCAUUGAUUUACUGAUUGAACUAUCAAGCCAAUGGCCAAGAUAAUCAGUAUAUUUCUCUCUAAUCUUCAGAAUAUACAGAGUUUACACAAUUGAAUAAAAUUAUGAGUAUUAAUAAAAUUUCGAA